GUUGAACGCUGGCGGCAGGCCUAACACAUGCAAGUCGAGCGAGCGGCGGACGGGUGAGUAAUGUCUGGGAAACUGCCUGAUGGAGGUGGGUAACUACUGGAAAAGGUAGCUAAUACCGCAUACCAUCAGAUCUGCCCAGAUUGGACUAGCUAGUAGGUGGGGUAACGGCUCACCUAGGCGACGAUCCCUAGCUGGUCUGAGAGGAUGACCAGCCACACUGGAACUGAGACACGGUCCAGACUCCUACGGGAGGCAGCAGUGGGGAAUAUUGCGCAAUGGGCGCAAGCCUGACGCAGCCACGCCGCGUGUGUGAAGAAGGCCUUCGGGUCGUAAAGCACUUUCAGCGGGGAAGCGGUACCCGCAGAAGAAGCACCGGCUAACUCCGUGCCAGCAGCCGCGGUAAUUC
rnacentral:rRNA from 1 species